rnacentral:piRNA from 2 species
UUUUCUAGAUAAGCUGCGCCACAAGAAAC